AAAUUGAAGAGUUUGAUCAUGGCUCAGAUUGAACGCUGGCGGCAGGCCUAACACAUGCAAGUCGAGCGGUAGCACAGAGAGCUUGCUCUCGGGUGACGAGCGGCGGACGGGUGAGUAAUGUCUGGGAAACUGCCUGAUGGAGGGGGAUAACUACUGGAAACGGUAGCUAAUACCGCAUAACGUCGCAAGACCAAAGUGGGGGACCUUCGGGCCUCAUGCCAUCAGAUGUGCCCAGAUGGGAUUAGCUAGUAGGUGGGGUAACGGCUCACCUAGGCGACGAUCCCUAGCUGGUCUGAGAGGAUGACCAGCCACACUGGAACUGAGACACGGUCCAGACUCCUACGGGAGGCAGCAGUGGGGAAUAUUGCACAAUGGGCGCAAGCCUGAUGCAGCCAUGCCGCGUGUGUGAAGAAGGCCUUCGGGUUGUAAAGCACUUUCAGCGGGGAGGAAGGCGUUAAGGUUAAUAACCUUGGCGAUUGACGUUACCCGCAGAAGAAGCACCGGCUAACUCCGUGCCAGCAGCCGCGGUAAUACGGAGGGUGCAAGCGUUAAUCGGAAUUACUGGGCGUAAAGCGCACGCAGGCGGUCUGUCAAGUCGGAUGUGAAAUCCCCGGGCUCAACCUGGGAACUGCAUUCGAAACUGGCAGGCUAGAGUCUUGUAGAGGGGGGGUAGAAUUCCAGGUGUAGCGGUGAAAUGCGUAGAGAUCUGGAGGAAUACCGGUGGCGAAGGCGGCCCCCUGGACAAAGACUGACGCUCAGGUGCGAAAGCGUGGGGAGCAAACAGGAUUAGAUACCCUGGUAGUCCACGCCGUAAACGAUGUCGAUUUGGAGGUUGUGCCCUUGAGGCGUGGCUUCCGGAGCUAACGCGUUAAAUCGACCGCCUGGGGAGUACGGCCGCAAGGUUAAAACUCAAAUGAAUUGACGGGGGCCCGCACAAGCGGUGGAGCAUGUGGUUUAAUUCGAUGCAACGCGAAGAACCUUACCUGGUCUUGACAUCCACAGAACUUUCCAGAGAUGGAUUGGUGCCUUCGGGAACUGUGAGACAGGUGCUGCAUGGCUGUCGUCAGCUCGUGUUGUGAAAUGUUGGGUUAAGUCCCGCAACGAGCGCAACCCUUAUCCUUUGUUGCCAGCGGUUAGGCCGGGAACUCAAAGGAGACUGCCAGUGAUAAACUGGAGGAAGGUGGGGAUGACGUCAAGUCAUCAUGGCCCUUACGACCAGGGCUACACACGUGCUACAAUGGCAUAUACAAAGAGAAGCGACCUCGCGAGAGCAAGCGGACCUCAUAAAGUAUGUCGUAGUCCGGAUUGGAGUCUGCAACUCGACUCCAUGAAGUCGGAAUCGCUAGUAAUCGUAGAUCAGAAUGCUACGGUGAAUACGUUCCCGGGCCUUGUACACACCGCCCGUCACACCAUGGGAGUGGGUUGCAAAAGAAGUAGGUAGCUUAACCUUCGGGAGGGCGCUUACCACUUUGUGAUUCAUGACUGGGGUGAAGUCGUAACAAGGUAACCGUAGGGGAACCUGCGGUUGGAUCACCUCCUUA
rnacentral:rRNA from 1 species